UUUCAGGUGCUCUGAACGCGCAUUUAGGAUUUAUUAAGUUGAAAUUGAUAUCGGCAGUUGUCAAAUUUGCCGAAGUUGCAUGGCCCCAAAAUCUCAAGGCAACAGACAAUUGCCGAAAUAUUGGUUACACAGUCCUACACGGUUACGUUC
ensembl:ncRNA C18C4.14 ncRNA